GUAGAAACUGGGUUUCACCAUGUUAGCCAGGAUGGUCUACGAUCUCCCGACCUCGUGAUCCACCCACCUUGGCCUACCCAAAGUGCUGAGAUUACAGGGUGAGCCACCGCGCCCGGCCAGAUGAUGACUUUUAAGUGAAGACCUUAAGAAGGUGAUGGGGGAUGCCAAGGUGAUAUCUGAGAAGAGCAUUCCAGGCAGAGAGGAUGUCACAUGCAAAGGCCCUGAGAAUGUUCUUUGUUGGUGUAUAGAACUGCUACUAGCCUGGGCAACAUGGUGAGACCCCAUCUUAUCUCUACAACAUUUAAAAAAAAUCUAGCCAGGUAUGCACCUGUGGUCCCAGCUACUUGGGAGGCUGAAGUGAGAGGAUCGCUUAGGUCCAAGAGAUCAAGGCUGCAGUGAGCCAUGUUCGUGCCACUGCACUCCAGCCUGGGCAACCCAGUGAGACUGUCUAAAAAAAAAUUAGAAAUGCCACUGAUUUUUGUAUGUUGAUUUUGUAUUCUGCAACUUUACUAAUUUGUUUAUCAGUUCUAACAGUUUUUUCGUAGAGUUUUUAGAUUUUUCCAGGUAUAAGACGUGUCAUCUGUGAACAAGGCUUAUUUGACUUCUUCCUUUCAAAUUUGGAUGCCCUUUAUUUCUUGUUCUUGCCUAAUUGCUCUGUCCAGGACUUCCAGUAUUAUGUUGAAUAAAGUGGUGAAAGUGAGCAUCCUUGUCUUAUUCCAGUUCUUAGAGGAAAGACCUUCCAUUUAUCCUCAUUCAGUACAAUGUUAGCUAUGGGUUUGUCAUACAUGGCUUUCAUUUUUUUUGAGCUAUGUUAUUUCUAUAACCAUUUUGAUGAGGGUUUUU
rnacentral:lncRNA from 1 species